ensembl:snRNA U2 U2 spliceosomal RNA
AUUAUUCGCUCCGCCUUUUGGCUAAGAUCAAGUGUAGUAUCUGUUCUUAUCAGUUUAAUAUAAAUUAUUCGCUCUUCAGGAUUCUCCCAUAGCAACAGAAAAUGGCCUAGGACAGCUGGUUUUACCAGUGGAGAGGAGUCCAUGUUCC